ACCCUAUAUGUUUUCUUAUUACCACAAUUUAACACGCACUAACAAUCAAAUUGACCGUAAAAGUCAAUAUUCAUUUGAAUACCAACGAAAAAAAGGAAGGAAAUGAAGGGAAAAGAAGCAAUAUACAACAACUAGCCCAAUAGGUCUUAGUUUGUAUGAAACCGUCUCACCAUGAGAUAGAUUCAUUAAGUAAAUGAAUUUUUAUUUUCAUUUUUUUAAAAUAUUAGGCCAGCCUAUAUUAAGUCAUCUCAUGAUGAGACAGUCUUAAUAAAAAAAUUUGCUCGAUUUCCCUUCCUUCCUUUCCUAAAUUAAGCAUUGUGUUCACGAGAUUAACAUUAUUAGUCGUUUUUACUGCCAUAAUUUAACACGCACUAACAAUUAAAUCGACCGUGAAAGUGACAAAUGGGAUAGGUAUGUGUUAAAUAGAAGCAUCGAGUAACAUGCUUACUUCUCCAUACAUUGCUUCAUAUUCAGGAGUACUUGGGAAGAAGGCUAGUGAAUGCAACAAUGAACAUCCACUAUAUCUCAAUAUUAUUGGUCCUCUUCUUUAACUAUCCAACUACCUUAUCUUCCUCACCCAACAAUUCUAAAUCUUCUCAUACUUCUUCUAUCGUUAACCACGUCCAACGUUUUAAAGCAAAGUGAUUUUAUUUGCUUGGAGGUGAAAACCAUGAGACAAGUUGGAGCAACUACCAUAAACUAGAGAGUGAGGAAACUAUCAUAAAGAAAUCAGCAGGCGGCGGAGGUGGAGGCGGAGGACAUGGUGGGAAAGGUGCGGCCGGUGGUGGCUCCAAUUAUCACCACCAAACUAACUCUAAAAAAAAUAAGGGUUCUAAUGUGCAACCUUUAUUCAUUCAAUCCUUUUCACCUUUAUUUCUUCCUACAUUGCUUUUUAUCUUGUUUUAGUUAACUAAAAAAGAUGGAUUCUUGGGUAUUUUCAUUUGCUCAAUUUCAUUAUUGUGAAUUCUUCUA